rnacentral:rRNA from 1 species
GGUCCGAACCCACGAGCGUUGAAAAGCUCGGGGAUGACUUGUGGGUAGCGGUGAAAUUCCAAUCGAGCCCGGAGAUAGCUGGUUCUCCCCGAAAUAGCUUUAGGGCUAGCCUCAAGGUGAGAGAUACGGAGGUAGAGCACUGAAUGUCCUAGGGGGUAUUGCACCUACCGAAGACUAUCAAACUCCGAAUGCCGUCAUCUUAUACUUGGGAGUCAGACUGUGGGUGAUAAGAUUCAUAGUCGAAAGGGCAACAGCCCAGAUCGUCAGCUAAGGUCCCUAAAUGUAAGUUAAGUGGUAAAGGAUGUGGGAUUGCACAGACAACCAGGAUGUUGGCUUAGAAGCAGCCACUCAUUCAAAGAGUGCGUAAUAGCUCACUGGUCGAGUGAUCCUGCGCCGAAGAUUUCCGGGGCUAAAACUUACUACCGAAGCUACGGCAUCAGUAAUGAUGGGUAGGGGAGCUUCCCAUACGGGUUGAAGCAUGACCGUAAGGACAUGUGGACAGUAUGGGAGUGAGAAGGUUGGAAUGAGUAGCGAGAUGUGGGUGAGAAUCCCACAGGCCGUAAACCCAAGGUUGCCAGGGGAAGGUUCGUCCGCCCUGGGUUAGUCGGGACCUAAGCUGAGGCCGAAAGGCGUAGGUGAUGGACAACAGGUUGAUAUUCCUGUACUACCGAUAACCGUUUGAGAGAAGGGAUGACACAGUAGGAUAAGCUAAGCACACUGUUGGUUAUGUGUGCCCAAGCAUUGAGGCAGUCAAAGUAGGCAAAUCCGCUUUGAUAAUGCUGGGAUGUGAUGGGGAGCGAAAUUUAGUAGCGAA